rnacentral:tRNA from 1 species
CAGAUAAUAGUUUAAAAAAAAUAUUGACAUUGGAAGUCAAAGAUCAAAGUCCUUUGUUAUCUGA